rnacentral:rRNA from 1 species
CCUACGGGGGGCAGCAGUGAGGAAUAUUGGUCAAUGGCCGCAGGGCUGAACCAGCCAAGUCGCGUGAGGGAUGACGGUCCUAUGGAUUGUAAACCCCUUUUGUCGGGGAGCAAAGGGCGCCACGUGUGGCGUUUUGCGAGUACCUGAAGAAAAAGCAUCGGCUAACUCCGUGCCAGCAGCCGCGGUAAUACGCAGGAUGCGAGCGUUAUCCGGCUUUAUUGGGUUUAAAGGGUGCGCAGGCGGACUGUCACGUCAGCGGUACAAUUUCGUGGCUCAUCCCCGUCGUGCCGUUGACACUGGCGUUC